rnacentral:lncRNA from 1 species
CUGCUCAGUGACUUGGUGAUUCAGGGACAACUUGAGUCAAACUGAAGUGGUGAGCUUUUAUUCUUCGAAAGGCCCAUUUCAUAUUAUGGUUUACCUUAUGAUUUACUAUUUUCUUGACAUCUGUUUUAUGCUAUGGUCGGGGGCAUGUCCUGACUAGAUAUUCUUGGUCAUUAUUUAGAGGCUUUGUAUGGACAAUUAUGGACUUGGGUAUGGAAU